rnacentral:lncRNA from 10 species
GGGGGGUGGGGCCUUGGGGCCGCGAGUGGGAGCGGGAGCGGUUCUGCGGCCUCCUCGGGCUUCUUGGCCCUGGGCGGAGUGGGAUUGGGUGUCCCGGCUGUUCGCAGUGGCCGCGAGUGCGGCCGGACCUGGAGUAGUACCUGAGCCGCUCUGGCCGAGCAAGGCGCGGGGCCCCGGUCUACACCGCGCUGGACCCGGCUAUGCCGUGACGGAAUUCCCGAGGCCGUAGCGCCACGCGAGACGCGCACUGGUGGCCUCCGCGCUCGCCUCCCUUCCGCCAAGAUUCACAGAACACGGCAGAGUGGCCUCGGGAUCACCUGCCCAAGACACCUGCACGACCGGAAGUUGGGAGAAGAAAUUAAGGCCAUGAUGAUGAACGCAGCCUUUCUCGUUUAUUUCCAAUCCCACAACAAACCGGAGUCCAGGAACUCAUGGGAGGCCGAGGUGGGCGGAUUGCCUGAGUUCAGGAGUUCGAGACCAGCCUGGGCGACACGGUGAAACCCCGUCCCUACUAAAAUACAAAAAAUUAGCCGGGCGUGGCGGCACGCGCCUGUAGUCCCAGCUACUCAGGAGGCUGAGGCAGGAGAAUGGCUUGAACUCGGGUGGGGGAGGUUGCAAUGAGCCGAGAUCGCGCCGCUGCACUCCAGCCUGGGCGACAGAGCGAGACUCUGUCUCUGAAAAAAAACAAAACAAAACGAGAAGGCUUUCAAAAUUACUCUGCGGUACACUAAUUUAACAGAUUAGAUCACUUUCCAGGCUUUAAGUUGGCCUUUGUUCUACCCUUUUUUUAGUGUAUGAUAAAAGUUGUGUUGGUUCGUUGAUCAGCAUGCAAUGAACUCUGGCUCUUGUUAAUCAGGUGACUACAGUUUUGUCCUUACAUUUGUAUGUAUGUCAUGAGUGGUUUUGUAUGGGCAGGAGGUAAACAACGCACAUUUAAAUAUACUUAAUGAUUUAUCAUUCCAAUGUUUUCUGGUUGUUUUAGUCUUUCAUUUGUCUCUUGAACAAUCUGAAACAUCCCUAUUCUAAGGCUAAAAAAUUUCCUUUACAAACUUAGGUUAAACAUUCCUAAUCUGAAAUCCAAAAUGCUCUAAAAUUCGAAUUUUUUUGAGUACUGACGUGACCCCACAAAUGGAAAAUUCCACACUUGCCCUCAUGUGACACUGGGUGACAGUCAAGUCACAAUCAAGCCUGGUGUGGUGGGCACCUGUAGUGCCAGCUACUCGGGAGGUUGAGCAGGAGGAUUGCUUGAGCCCAGGAGUUUGAGUCCAGCCUGGACGAUAUAGCCAGACCCUGUCUGUAAAAAAACAAAAACCAAAACAAAAAAAACAAUGAAAACAUUUUUUUUUAAAACGCCAUCAAAACUUUGUUUCAUGCACAAAAUUAUUUAAAAUAUAUAAUAUAACCUUACCUUCAGGCUAUGUGGGUAAGGUAAGGUGUAUGUGAAACAAAUGAAUUUCCCAUUUAGACUUGGGUCCCAUCCCCAAGAUAUCUUAUUAUGUAUAUGCAAAUAUUCCAAAUCAAAAAUAUCUGAAAUACUUUUGUCCCAAGCAUUUCAGAUAAAGGUUACUCAACCUGUAAUAAAAACACUCAGUGCUUGCCUGAAGGAAAAACCAAGAAUUUGUCAUCCAUCCUUAAAUUUUUAUGACACCCUUUGUAAUCAGGAAACCUUUUAAUACCUAAGAAUAUAUUUGAUAUAUUCUGGUAUAUGUUUAUCAUUCUGAUGUUUAAUGUUCUAUGUUGGGCAUAUAUCAGUGUAAUAAAUACAUUAGAUCCAAAUACAGAU